GGGUCAGUAGGUUGGUCGUGCCACCGGUACGUACUGGUCUCACUGAUUCCUCCUUCCUGAAGAACCGUAAUGCCAUUAAUUUGGCGUUGCGGGGAAACAGGACUGUUACUUUGAAAAAAUUAGAGUGUAUAAAGCAAGCUAACGCUUGAAUACAUUAGCAUGGAAUAAUGAAAUAGGACGAUCGAUCCUAUUUUGUUGGUUUCUAGGAUUGACGUA
rnacentral:rRNA from 1 species